CAGCAGCCACGGUAAUACGGAGGGAGCUAGCGUUGUUCGGAAUUACUGGGCGUAAAGCGCGCGUAGGCGGUUACUCAAGUCAGAGGUGAAAGCCCGGGGCUCAACCCCGGAACUGCCUUUGAAACUAGGUGACUAGAAUCUUGGAGAGGUCAGUGGAAUUCCGAGUGUAGAGGUGAAAUUCGUAGAUAUUCGGAAGAACACCAGUGGCGAAGGCGACUGACUGGACAAGUAUUGACGCUGAGGUGCGAAAGCGUGGGGAGCAAACAGGAUUAGAUACCCCCGUAGUCCCUGUCUCUUAUAC
rnacentral:rRNA from 1 species